AACGAACGCUGGCGGCAUGCCUAACACAUGCCAGUCGAACGAGACCUUCGGGUCUAGUGGCGCACGGGUGCGUAACGCGUGGGAACCUGCCCUUAGGUUCGGAAUAACUCCCCGAAAGGGGUGCUAAUACCGGAUAAUGUCUUCGGACCAAAGAUUUAUCGCCUUUGGAUGGGCCCGCGUUGGAUUAGCUAGUUGGUAGGGUAAAAGCCUACCAAGGCGACGAUCCAUAGCUGGUCUGAGAGGAUGAUCAGCCACACUGGGACUGAGACACGGCCCAGACUCGUACGGGAGGCAGCAGUGGGGAAUAUUGGACAAUGGGCGAAAGCCUGAUCCAGCAAUGCCGGGUGAGUGAUGAAGGCCUUAGGGUUGUAAAGCUCUUUUACCCGGGAUGAUAAUGACAGUACCGGGAGAAUAAGCUCCGGCUAACUCCGUG
rnacentral:rRNA from 1 species